rnacentral:lncRNA from 1 species
AUUAGUGCAGUGAUGAAGCAUGUAUUGUGGACUAGAGUUUCUGAUAUUGGGCUCUUCUUCCCAUUUUAUUUUGACGACAAACCCUUGGCUGUCUGAGCACUGUACCUUUCAUCUUAUUCAUAAGUUUUCCACUGAUUUUUUAAUAUUCUUUUUAUAAAAUUAGGUUAAGAGCUAAUGAUGAGAAAUACAAUUAUCUUAGCGGAUUUCAGUGAGAUUACUUUUAAUCAAUGAUCUGAUUGUUACACACACUGAAGCUCUUCAAUCUCUUUUUUAUUUAUUUUUUUUGUAUGAGAUGGAAUGUAAAUAAUAAUAGCAGUGAUGAGGCAAAACACAUGAGGAUGUGUUAAGGGAAGUGGACAAGACGAUUAAAACCGUUUUGCCGUGAUCCCCAUUUUAAACGACUUCUCCUUCCACUGAGCUUUUUUUUUAUUAUUUAUUUUCAUUCCAACUUUUAUUCAAAUUUACAUGUUUUUGUCUAAUUUGUUUUACAUAUAUUAUUGAAGAGAUAUGCGGCGUCCAUUUACCAAUUCUGGAGGAUAAGUUGGUUCCUCACGGUGUAAUGGCUCGGACGCCAUAUUAAUAUUUGUGGCCAUCCUGAUCAAUGGGUCCUCAAUACCAUUGCAUCCUGGAAACACCUCAUACAUUU